AAUAAAUAAGACUCUAUGAAUUCUCACGCAUAUAAUUCAUACCAUUAAAAGGUUUUUAUAUUUAAUUUUUGACAUUAAAUGAUGGUUAUGAAUUUCAGAGAUCAGAAGAAUAAAUGGUAUGUAAUUUUCCCUGGUACUUAGAUGUGGGGCGAAAACGAUUCAAUGGAUGGAUGAUGAUGGCGCAUGGUAUUGUCAUGGAAUGAGAAGCACCAGAUCCGAGAGCCCUCUCAAGCAAAUGUGUGCGUUUUUACUUUUCAAACUGGCCAAUGAUAGCGUGCCAGCGCAUCGUCUCCUACCUUGAGAAUAUAUAUACACUUUAAAAUUCUCUUUUCUC